rnacentral:rRNA from 1 species
AGAGUUUGAUCCUGGCUCAGGAUGAACGCUAGCGGCAGGCCUAACACAUGCAAGUCGAGGGGCAGCACGGGUAGCAAUACCUGGUGGCGACCGGCGCACGGGUGAGUAACGCGUAUGCAACCUACCCUCCACAGGGGGAUAGCCCGCCGAAAGGCGGAUUAAUACCCCAUGGCCCCAUUKGCCGGCAUCGGMKGAUGGGUAAAGGAGCAAUCCGGUGGAGGAUGGGCAUGCGUGCCAUUAGCUGGUUGGCGGGGUAACGGCCCACCAAGGCGACGAUGGCUCGGGGGUCUGAGAGGAUGGUCCCCCACACUGGUACUGAGACACGGACCAGACUCCUACGGGAGGCAGCAGUGAGGAAUAUUGGUCAAUGGGCGGAAGCCUGAACCAGCCAUGCCGCGUGCAGGAAGACGGCCCUACGGGUUGUAAACUGCUUUUCCGGGGGAAGAAUAAGGGCGACGUGUCGCCCGAUGCCGGUACCCCGGGAAUAAGGAUCGGCUAACUCCGUGCCAGCAGCCGCGGUAAUACGGAGGAUCCGAGCGUUAUCCGGAUUUACUGGGUUUAAAGGGUGCGUAGGCGGGCGCUUAAGUCAGCGGUGAAAUACGGGGGCUCAACCUUCGAACGGCCGUUGAUACUGGGCGCCUUGGAUUCGGUCGAGGCGGGCGGAAUGCGACAUGUAGCGGUGAAAUGCUUAGAUAUGUCGCAGAACGCCGAUUGCGAAGGCAGCUCGCCAGGCCGACAUUGACGCUGAGGCACGAAAGCGUGGGGAUCAAACAGGAUUAGAUACCCUGGUAGUCC